GCAUCAAUGGUCUAGUGGUUAGGAUUGCUGCCUUCCAAGCAGCAGGGGGGGGUUCGAUUGUGAGUACA